CUUUUCUUGUUUUUAAUAUGAAAUAUUACCUGCCCAAUGAUUAAAAUUAAAUGGCCGCGGUAUACUGACCGUGCAAAGGUAGCAUAAUAAUUAGUGUUUUAAUUGGAGACUGGAAUGAAUGGUUAAACGAGAUAAAAUCUGUCUUGGUUUUAUUAAUUUGAAUUUAAUUAUUAAGUUAAAAAGCUUAAAUUUUUUUAUGGGACGAUAAGACCCUAUAGAAUUUGAUAAUUUUUUUUAUAUCUAGUUUGAGUUUUAAUUUAUAUAAUAAAUUAUUUAAUUGGGGUGAUAUUAAGAUAAAAGUAACUCUUAUUUUAUUAUAAAUAUAUAUAUAUAUAACUAUAUUGAUCCAAUAAUGAUGAUUAGAAGAUAAAAUUACC
rnacentral:rRNA from 1 species